UUGAAGAGUGUUGUGUAUACAGACUGGCGUGCUGUUUUCCUGCUAUCACGUCUAUGCUAAAAGCCAAGAAUUGUUUCGGUUUCGAUCCUGCCUCUUGCUUUUAAAUUAAUAAGGGGUAAACUGUGGACUCCUUCCUCCUUUGCUUGAGAAUGAUUUGGAUUCUGUAAGCAGCCCUGACAGGCUGCAAGCUGGAACUGGACACCUGAGCUCAGCCUUCCAAACAAAAAGAUGACAGAGAUCCCAUGUGUGAGACCAAAGCAAUACUAAAUUUAGAUUUAUCUAAAAUGCUUAAAUAAAAUCACAGCUUUUGAUAUUUUAGUCUCAGAAAAUAUAUUUGAUUUCAACUUGAUGACAUUCCAGAAGCUGAUGUGCAAGUUUCUGGCUGUUAAGGAGAUACCCAACUUUGGAUGAAGCCUCAGUGAAUCUUUGCUAUACUAUGGACAAACUACUAAAAAGAACUGUUUUUCUAAACCUCAGUAAUAUCAACAGAAAAAAAGUCUGUAGAGCUCACAAUAUUUUAUUGUGAUACCAUGACAAAGAAGACUUCUUUUUGUUUAAUCCCUGGCUGUACACAUUCUCUACUUGUGCCUUCUGACCCAGAACUGCAAGGACCAUACCUGUUUCUUUUCAAUGAGCUAUCAUUAUUUGAAGACUAAAUGAUGAUAAGCCUUAACUUCAGCCUACAUGGAGAGAAAAAAAAAGCAUUUUGACUAAAAUCAGGAACUUGACAAUGUUGCCAACACUCUCCAUAACUAUUCAAGAUGGUACUUGCAGUCUUAGCUAAAACAAUAAGACAACUAAAGGAGAACAAGACAAUACAAGAAUGAAGGGAAAAAGUGUUUAGAUGAAAGUUGUGAAAAGAUCCUCCAAAGCAAAAACAGAUUCUACUGAUCCUGAGGAAUGUUCUGACUCUCCAGGAAAGAACCAGAAAUUGCUUCGUCACACCCAGGAUCAGA